rnacentral:lncRNA from 1 species
AAAACUUCUUGUGAGAACUUUCUGUUUGCAGACUUUUAGUCUAGAACCUUUACAGGAAAGUCUCUGGAGAGUGGAAAAGCAUCUUCAUGGCAAAGAAGACUUUCUGGUGGUGAAGAUGGUGGACGAUGGUGGGAAAUUUGCACAGUGAGCUCCAGCCUUGGAAACAGCCAGGCUGAGUUAAGAUUGAUAAUUCAUAUGUGUUGAUAAGGAAAGUGAAAAAAUAGCACCUAAAUAUCCUACCAGGAAAGAAGGAUGAAGCAAAUUAUGUCACUUAAAAAUUUAUGGUGUUUGGAAAGAUUCGUAAUAUGAAUACCUGAC